UGGGUACAGGGAAUUGGAAUGGAGUUUUUGACGUUUACAUGUAGGUCCAUAAUUUCAAAUUAUUUCUGGAAAUAGUUGGUGGUAUUUUAGUUCCAGAAUCUAUAAAUUUAGGGGUUAGGGGUAUGGGGUGUCCGAUUCCGAAACCCCGAAUAUAAAGAAACGAAAUUCCGUAGUCCCGAAUAAGUAAAGACAAAAUCCUGUGUUAAAGGUUCUACCAUUCCUCAAUAAUAUCAAAUUGGAAUAUGGGAUAUUCUUUCAAUUUUUAAGGUUAAAGACACAUGGAUAGAAACUAAUCCAUGCAUGUUUCAU
rnacentral:lncRNA from 1 species